AGAGUUUGAUCCUGGCUCAGGACGAACGCUGGCGGCACGCUUAACACAUGCAAGUCGAACGAGAGAAGAGGAGCUUGCUUUUCUGAUCUAGUGGCGGACGGGUGAGUAACACGUGAGCAAUCUGCCUUUCAGAGGGGGAUACCGAUUGGAAACGAUCGUUAAUACCGCAUAACAUAAUUGAACCGCAUGAUUUGAUUAUCAAAGAUUUAUCGCUGAAAGAUGAGCUCGCGUCUGAUUAGCUAGUUGGUAAGGUAACGGCUUACCAAGGCGACGAUCAGUAGCCGGACUGAGAGGUUGAUCGGCCACAUUGGGACUGAGACACGGCCCAGACUCCUACGGGAGGCAGCAGUGGGGAAUAUUGCACAAUGGAGGAAACUCUGAUGCAGCGAUGCCGCGUGAGGGAAGAAGGUUUUAGGAUUGUAAACCUCUGUCUUCAGGGACGAAAAAAGACGGUACCUGAGGAGGAAGCUCCGGCUAACUACGUGCCAGCAGCCGCGGUAAUACGUAGGGAGCGAGCGUUGUCCGGAAUUACUGGGUGUAAAGGGAGCGUAGGCGGGAUCGCAAGUCAGAUGUGAAAACUAUGGGCUUAACCCAUAAACUGCAUUUGAAACUGUGGUUCUUGAGUGAAGUAGAGGUAAGCGGAAUUCCUAGUGUAGCGGUGAAAUGCGUAGAUAUUAGGAGGAACAUCAGUGGCGAAGGCGGCUUACUGGGCUUUAACUGACGCUGAGGCUCGAAAGCGUGGGGAGCAAACAGGAUUAGAUACCCUGGUAGUCCACGCCGUAAACGAUGAUUACUAGGUGUGGGGGGACUGACCCCUUCCGUGCCGCAGCAAACGCAAUAAGUAAUCCACCUGGGGAGUACGACCGCAAGGUUGAAACUCAAAGGAAUUGACGGGGGCCCGCACAAGCAGCGGAGUAUGUGGAUUAAUUCGAAGCAACGCGAAGAACCUUACCAGGUCUUGACAUCGUAUGCAUAGCUCAGAGAUGAGUGAAAUCUCUUCGGAGACAUAUAGACAGGUGGUGCAUGGUUGUCGUCAGCUCGUGUCGUGAGAUGUUGGGUUAAGUCCCGCAACGAGCGCAACCCUUACUGUUAGUUGCUACGCAAGAGCACUCUAGCAGGACUGCCGUUGACAAAACGGAGGAAGGUGGGGAUGACGUCAAAUCAUCAUGCCCCUUAUGACCUGGGCCUCACACGUACUACAAUGGCUGUCAACAGAGGGAAGCAAAGCCGCGAGGUGGAGCGAACCCCUAAAAGCAGUCUUAGUUCGGAUUGUAGGCUGCAACCCGCCUACAUGAAGUCGGAAUUGCUAGUAAUCGCAGAUCAGCAUGCUGCGGUGAAUACGUUCCCGGGCCUUGUACACACCGCCCGUCACGCCAUGGGAGUCGGUAACACCCGAAGCCUGUAGUCUAACCGCAAGGAGGACGCAGUCGAAGGUGGGAUUGAUGACUGGGGUGAAGUCGUAACAAGGUA
rnacentral:rRNA from 1 species